GCCAUCGGCUUGAGCCAUGAUCUGAGCCGACCCUCAUCUUCAACCUCCGGACACCAACCAUCCCUGCUCCUCCCGCAAGAAGAUCCACAAAUCCAUGGGUCUCAAAAAAAUUCUCCAAAUCCAUGCCUCACAGCCUCAGGUAACCUCCGGCCUCAUCCAUCCCCAAGUCCGGAAUUGCAGCGGCUGCUGGGCGUGGGCGGCCGGAAUUGCGGCGGCCGCUGGACGCGGCGCGCGGCGGUCGGAAUGGCGGACGCGUUCAUCUCUCUCUCUCUCUCUCUCUCUCUCUCUCUCUCUACGCGAGGCGAAGCUUCCCCGCCUCAGCCUGCGGCCUGUCCCUGCCGCCUCCGCGGACGCGCGCAGCCCGAGCCGCCGCGGGCUGCCCUUGCCGCCGCCUCCGCUGCCCCUGCACCUACCGUCGCCGCGGCCGCCUCCCCCUCCCACAGCCGGCCCCUCAACCUCUUCUUCCCCAACUCCGGCACCGGCCUAACUCCCCGAGCACUUCGUCUUCCCCGAGACCCCAAGCCCCUCUCCCCAAGCUACUAUUAGUCGGCGAGGUCGAGUUCGCGCUCUCGUGUAUCUCAUGCACUGGGAGCUAGUCUCACCCACGAGCUAGUCGGCGAGGUCGAGCCCGCCAUGAACGUCGACGAAACUGCUCUAGGCCCGCCUUCAUGGCUGGGCUCGCAGCUCGGCUAAAGCCGAUCGGUUAGAAGAAUAGAUCAAAAAGUAGACUCCUGAGUAUGACGCGUGGGUCUGAGUCAUUAACUUGGUGAAAACCUGUGAUUUUCGGGGUUUUUUGUUACUUAUUAUUAGUCUGGAACUGGGGUAUUAGUUUCGAAGCUUUGGGUUCGUGGUUUUUUGUUACAAGAGCCGCUAUACAUGUGUCUUUGUGUAGUUUACUCUUUAAAGUAAUAUUUCAUUUUCCUGCCAAGCUUACUAACGCAUGAUAUGUGUUCACUAGAAUAUUUUCCGCUUCCACAUUGAUCUGCUUGUAGUGCACUGACUUUAUAGCAAUCAUGAAGGUAAUCAUUAGCAAGGAAGAUGACGGGGCUGAGAUCGUGCUCAUUGCGAUCCAGAUAUGCACGUUGUUGUAAACAUUUUGUUUUGGUAUGUAUUGUGCUUUCAUGAGAGUGUGGAUUAUAACAUGUUUUCCUGGACAAGAAACAACAAUGAGGACACCACCCUUAUUGCUAAUAUAAUUGUUCAGUUUUCUCGUUUGUUCUAUUAAAAAGUUAACUGAUGUCAAAGAGCAAUUCUGCAGGUCCAAUUCAUAAUUUUUCGCAUGCAUAAAAUCUUGCAUCACAGAUGAUGGGACUUGACAUAUGCACUGACAUGGUAGCGGAAGAUGCCAUCAGAGGUAUAUCGGCCAGUGGAAAGAGAAGACUAACCACAUGCACUGGGGUAUUGGGUAUUGCAGCUCUGAAGAUGGGUGCUGCUCUAUUCACUGGGACAGACAUAGACCCUCAAGCUAUAACCACUGCUCAUGAGAACAUGUUGCUGUCUGCGCAAAAAAAAGAAAGAGAUAGAGAACAUGUUGCUGAAUGGUUCAGGAUUUUCUUGAGGCUACAAAGGUGCUUAAAUGGUUCAAGGAGAACUACACGAUCGAGUAUAUCAGAAGAUGUGCCAUGAGUGUGACGCUAGGUGGCCGGACUGCCAGUUUUCAUAGAUACAAGCGUGUGAAUGGGAAGCUGUUGUACGUAUUCAUUCCCUAGAUGGAGGUAAUUCUUGUUGAGGACCAGUUUGAUUCAAAGGAUUUCAGCAGGAAGUUUCUAAGAGUUGAAUCUUUGAAAUUGUUUUAUGGAUUGAUUUGCAUAGUUGUAUUCUGCAAAAAUCAACGAUACAGUUUUUUGGUUGAUUUAUUUAUGUGGUCUCAUCGAUCGAGCCCUCUUAGAUGGCACCUUUAGGUGAUCCCUUCGAAGGAGAGGAGUUUGUUGUUGUCUAUAGUGAUAGAGGUUCAUUUGAGAUCAGUAAAGGGAAGCAAGCCCAGGAAAUGUUGAUAUUGAGCUUCGUUUGCAUCCUGGUUUUAAAAGCUUCUUCGAACAGAUCUAGCCAACCCCGGACGGACGGCUCCUAUGCACGCGUCCCGUGUGCAGAGCAAACCCGGGCAAACUCACAAGACAAAGGGGGUCUGCUCUACCCCGGAUGCACGCCAAUGGCGCUUGAUCCCUGUCUCCCUGAUGGUGAAUCAAAUUUGCAACAAAACGGAGCGUACAACACGUCCGCGUACCGGACCAGGGCGUCCUGUCCGGGCUCCGAAUGGCUCCUCUCCCCGGACUAGCUUGCUGCGCCUGGACCGGGCCACGGACGAAACUACAGGCGUCUAGCCGUCAACCCCGGACGGGUCCACCAGCGCCACUCCGGACGAGAACGGCGUGCACACGUCCAGCCGGCCGAUCGAGCUUUACGCGGAGCACGGAUGAGAGCUGUGAACCUGGAAGAGUCUCACUCGGCCCCGGAUGGCAACAAGUAAUCCCCGAAUAGCAGUCAAGUCAAUUUGCUAUAUUUGGGCUUGACAAUGAAAAAGAUAUAAAAUAGAGAAUGCAUCUAGAGUUUGACUCUGGAUGCCACAAAUCUGACGCGAGCCGCCAACUUGAGCUGCAGGUCUAUUUGGGAGAAAGAUUACUAUGUUUCUGAUUUUGCUGCAGUGAUGCAUUCUGCUCUAGGAGAUAGAAAGAUUAAUUAUUCGGGAUGCAAAUGAUGAUUAACGUAGGUCAAAUUUCACUGUUUUUCAUUAACUAUGGGCUACAAAAUACCGUGACUAUGUUCUUUGUAUGAAGAUUUUUAUGUGGACCAGAAAUAUGCUUUCAAGAAGACAUUAUAACAUUCACUCAAGCCUUGCCUAUGUUCUUUGUCACACUGCUGCUGAGGAAACUUUGGAUCAAUCUCUUUCUACGCUGCUCCUUCAGUAAAAGAUGAUGGCAACAUGUUAAAAUCCAGUGGCCAGAUAAUAUCUCUUGCAUUGAUGCACUUCCUGGAAUCAGAAAGAAGUUUAAUAAUCCAUUAUUCUUUGAACUGCUUUCUCUUACGGCCUGGAACAUCUGUAAAGUCAGAAACAAGCUUAUUUUUUAAGGACAAGGAGCUAGCUUUCAAACCUGGCUUGAGAAGUUUAAAUCUGAUCUGCUUUUGCUUGGUUUUAGGGUGCCUCAAUUCCUGAAUAAUUGUCAUGCAAUUUUGAUAGACCUUUUCUAUAUUAACAGGAACAUGUCCUUGUUUGUAAAUAUGUAAAUUAAUAAUAAUAAUAAUAAUAAUAAUAAUAAUAAUAAUAAUAAUACCUCGAACCUCUCCUAUUGUUUUUUGUCAAAAAAAACGUCUUCUCAAGAGCCACCUUCCUAGCUAUAUUCAUCCAAUGUAGCAAGCUUUCAUUGAAUGCAAAAGAACAUUAUAUCCCAAGUAAUCACUCCUUUUCCCUUAGCUCUUGGAAUCAGCCAGCCUUCAUGCUAAAAAUAGAUCUAGCCAAAGCAUUUGAUCGUCAGGAAUGGAACUUCAUUGCUCAAGCGCUUGCUCGUAAAGGGCUGCAUGGUCAUUUCAUCCAGCUCAUACACAAUUGCAUUUCCACCCCUGUCUUCUCUGUUAUUAUCAAUGGACAGACUCAUGCAAAAUUUACAGGUUCGAGGGGGAUAAGAAAAGGUUGUCAGCUAUCGCCGUACCUUUUGUCCUUUCCAUUGAUGAACUCUCUCUCUCUCUGCGGCAGGCUCUCCAAGACAAUCAUCUAGCAGGAAUAUCUCUGGGGCCGGAGUGUCCCCCCAUUCACACUCUCUUCUUUUUGCAGAUGACCUUCUGGUUUGUGGCCAAGCAAGCUUAGCAGAAAUCCAUACGAUGAAAAACUUGUUGGACGACUUUUGGCACGCUUCGGGUCAAACUCCAAAUUGAGCCAAGUCAGCCAUCCUCUUCACCAGAAACGUGGAUCAGGUUACAAAACAGGCCAUAAAACAAAUCUUCCCUGUGCAGGAUCUCAACAAGGACACUACUCAUCUUGGCCAUCCUCUUCUGCUCCCUUCAAAGGAUCGUUCUUCUGGUUAUUCUUUUAUCUUGGACAAAUUUAAAACUAAACUCUCUGGUCUCAAAGCUAACAAACUUUCACAUGCAGGGAGACUUACUCUUAUUAACUCUGUUUUUGCCUCGAUUCCCAUCUAUUAUAUGUCUAACAUCCUGUUUACCAAGAAAUUCCUUGUCAAUCUCACUGCUAUUAUUAGGAAAUUUUGGUGGACAGGUGUACAGGAAGGGAGUAAUACUAAUUUUCUUUGUCUAAAAUCUUGGGAAGAAAUUUGUCUGCCGGGAAAGAAAGGAGAUCUUCGGAUCAAAAAUAUUCAAGCCACCAAUACUAGCCUCAUCUGCUCUGAUGCUUGGAGGCUAGCCCAGGAACCGAACAGCAUGCUUGCCUUAGUCCUAAAAGCAAAAUACCAUCGAGGUACCACUAUUUGGAAAGCAAGCAAGGCUGUGCCUAAAUCUACUUUUUGGGCAUCCAUCCUCAAGCGACAGUGAAGGAUCUUUGGAUUCCAGGAACUAAGAUUUGGAAUGCCAACCUUGUCCAAAAUCUUUUCUCCUCUCAAGCUGCUACCAUCAUUCUCAAUACCCCUACCCUACAGGCCCAAGGUACACAUGUCUACUCUAAUGCAGCCUGGCAGCCUGGAAGUUGCCUCGAGACAAUCCAGUUCCUUCUGAAGGUACACAUGUCUGCGCUAAUGCAGCCUGGCAGCCUGGAAGUUGCCUCGAGACAAUCCAGUUCCUUCUGAAGUCAGUGCAGGGCUUGGAGUCUACAUGGAGCACUUCUCUCAAGCUAGCAGGUUGAAAGUGCAGCUCUCCUCUACAGGCAGAAGCUUGGGCACUUCUUCUAGGAGAAAACUUCAGGCUCCUUCAAUUUGGAAGAGGCUCCUUACUCUUAGACAAUAUCACCCUAGCUCAGGCAGCCAACCGAAGAAGCAUCCAACAUUCUCCACGACACUGGUCUAUUAGACCUUCGCUUGCUGAAAUUCACGGAACCCCUCCUACUUUUACUGUUAGAUAUGUCCCUAGAGAUUGCAAUGUUGUGGCUCACAAUUUAGCUUCUAGCGUUAAACUCUCGUACCCUUGUAGCCCAGCAAAAUUUGCUUGCAUCAACUCUUCUCCCAGAGA